rnacentral:tRNA from 1 species
GCGGGCGUAGUUUAAUGGCAAAACUUCUGCCUUCCAAGCAGAUAACGUGAGUUCGAUUCUCAUCGCCCGCUCCA